UUACGGGAGGCAGCAGUGGGGAAUUUUGGACAAUGGGCGCAAGCCUGAUCCAGCCAUGCCGCGUGAGUGAAGAAGGCCUUCGGGUUGUAAAGCUCUUUCGGACAGAAAGAAAUCGCACGGGCUAAUACUCUGUGUGGAUGACGGUACUGUCAUAAGAAGCACCGGCUAACUACGUGCCAGCAGCCGCGGUAAUACGUAGGGUGCGAGCGUUAAUCGGAAUUACUGGGCGUAAAGCGUGCGCAGGCGGUUGUGCAAGACAGGCGUGAAAUCCCCGGGCUUAACCUGGGAACUGCGUUUGUGACUGCACGGCUAGAGUACGGCAGAGGGGGGUGGAAUUCCACGUGUAGCAGUGAAAUGCGUAGAGAUGUGGAGGAACACCGAUGGCGAAGGCAGCCCCCUGGGCCGAUACUGACGCUCAUGCACGAAAGCGUGGGGAGCAAACAGGAUUAGAUACCCCAGUAGUCCC
rnacentral:rRNA from 1 species